rnacentral:rRNA from 1 species
AGUGAACGCUGGCGGUAGGCCCAACACAUGCAAGUCGAACGGCAGCACAGUAAGAGCUUGCUCUUACGGGUGGCGAGUGGCGGACGGGUGAGGAAUACAUCGGAAUCUACUUUUUCGUGGGGGAUAACGUAGGGAAACUUACGCUAAUACCGCAUACGACCUACGGGUGAAAGCAGGGGAUCUUCGGACCUUGCGCGAUUGAAUGAGCCGAUGUCGGAUUAGCUAGUUGGCGGGGUAAAGGCCCACCAAGGCGACGAUCCGUAGCUGGUCUGAGAGGAUGAUCAGCCACACUGGAACUGAGACACGGUCCAGACUCCUACGGGAGGCAGCAGUGGGGAAUAUUGGACAAUGGGCGCAAGCCUGAUCCAGCCAUACCGCGUGGGUGAAGAAGGCCUUCGGGUUGUAAAGCCCUUUUGUUGGGAAAGAAAAGCAGCAGGUUUAUACCCCGCUGUCCUGACGGUACCCAAAGAAUAAGCACCGGCUAACUUCGUG